AUUGCCCUCGAAUAAUUGGAUGUAGAUUCACAUUCUCAUUCGGUUCAGACAGGGGCGUAAAACAAAUUUGAAUCCUUCUCUUUUACAUAUGAUGCAUAUGAAAAGGGAUGCUGGCUUCUGUCAAUCCUUUCUUAAGAUGGAUUCAUAUAGCU
rfam:Hordeum vulgare subsp. vulgare, WGS project CAJW01000000 data, contig: morex_contig_39731